GGUCAGGAUAGCUCAGUUGGUAGAGCAGAGGACUGAAAAUCCUCGUGUCCCCAGGUUCAA
rnacentral:tRNA from 1 species